AUGAGUCGAUUAUUUUACUUUCCGGUUCACUCCCACUCCACAACGAAAAAAGUAGGUGCCACAACAUGUGAUGAGGACAUCAAUACCAUUGUUACACCCACAGCCCCUACUGCUACAUAUACGGGACCAAUUACUAGAACUCGCGCACGCCAAUUAAAUUAUCAGGUACUUCCGUUUCUUGGUAAUGAUUCUAAUGUUCAUGAGAAUAUGAUGCUGUCUAAAUUGGAUACAUUUGUUUUGCUUACAAAUGAAGGGCCUAGCUUGGAGAAGGAUGAACAUUGGAGCAAGAACAAGCAUGGAGAUGAUGCCAUGCGCAAGGGGAACAAGAACGGAGUUACAAGCGAUGAUUUCAGGACUUUGAAGUCACCAUAA
rnacentral:rRNA from 1 species